GGGUAAGGCUCUGUGGUAGAGCAUGUGCCCAGCAUGCUUGAGGUCCUGAGUUCAAUCCCCAGAGCCA
rnacentral:tRNA from 1 species